rfam:Pteropus alecto contig37064, whole genome shotgun sequence.
AGCUCCAUAGUGUAGUGGUUAGCACAUCUGCUUUACAUGCAGAAGGUCCUGGGUUUGCACCCCAGGUGGAGCCA